rnacentral:rRNA from 1 species
UACAGAGGGGGCAAGCGUUAUUCGGAAUUAUUGGGCGUAAAGAGCUCGUAGGCGGUUUGUCGCGUCUGCUGUGAAAACCUAAGGCUCAACCUUGGGCUUGCAGUGGGUACGGGCAGACUAGAGUGCGGUAGGGGUGACUGGAAUUCCUGGUGUAGCGGUGGAAUGCGCAGAUAUCAGAAGGAACACCGAUGGCGAAGGCAGGUCACUGGGCCGCAACUGACGCUGAGGAGCGAAAGCAUGGGGAGCGAACAGG